AGAAGAGGAGAGCGGAAAUUUCCACGUGUAGGCGGUGAAAUGCGUAGAGAUGUGGAGGAACACCAGUGGCGAAGGCGGCUUCUCUGGUCUGUAACUGACGCUGAGGCGCGAAAGCGUGGGAAGCGAACAGGAUUAGAUACCCUGGUAGUCCACGCCGUAAACGAUGAGUGCUAAAGUGUUAGAGGGUUUCCGCCCUUUAGUGCUGCAGCAAACGCAUUAAGCACUCCGCCUGGGGAGUACGGCCGCAAGGCUGAAACUCAAAGGAAUUGACGGGGGCCCGCACAAGCGGUGGAGCAUGUGGUUUAAUUCGAAGCAACGCGAAGAACCUUACCAGGUCUUGACAUCCUCUGACAACCCUAGAGAUAGGGCGUUCCCCUUCGGGGGACAGAGUGACAGGUGGUGCAUGGUUGUCGUCAGCUCGUGUCGUGAGAUGUUGGGUUAAGUCCCGCAACGAGCGCAACCCUUGAUCUUAGUUGCCAGCAUUCAGUUGGGCACUCUAAGGUGACUGCCGGUGACAAACCGGAGGAAGGUGGGGAUGACGUCAAAUCAUCAUGCCCCUUAUGACCUGGGCUACACACGUGCUACAAUGGAUGGAACAAAGGGCCGCAAAACCGCGAGGUCGAGCCAAUCCCAUAAAUCCAUUCUCAGUUCGGAUUGCAGGCUGCAACUCGCCUGCAUGAAGCCGGAAUCGCUAGUAAUCGCGGAUCAGCUGGCCCGCCUA
rnacentral:rRNA from 2 species